AACGAACGCUGGCGGCAGGCUUAACACAUGCAAGUCGAACGGGUGUAGCAAUACAUCAGUGGCAGACGGGUGAGUAACACGUGGGAACCUUCCUAGGGGUACGGAACAACUCAGGGAAACUUGAGCUAAUACCGUAUACGUCCGUGAGGAGAAAGAUUUAUCGCCCUUAGACGGGCCCGCGUCGGAUUAGCUAGUUGGUGGGGUAACGGCCUACCAAGGCGACGAUCCGUAGCUGAUCUUAGAGGAUGAUCAGCCACACUGGGACUGAGACACGGCACAGGCUCCGACGGGAGGCAGCAGUGGGGAAUCUUGGACAAGGGGGGCAAGCCGGAACCAGCCAUGCCGGGUGAGUGAAGAAGGUCUUCGGAUUGUAAAGCUCUUUUGCCAGGGACGAUAAUGACGGUACCUGGAGAAUAAGCCCCGGCAAACUUCGUGCCAGCAGCCGCCGUAA
rnacentral:rRNA from 1 species